rnacentral:tRNA from 1 species
GUAGUUGUGGCUCGGCGGUAGAGUGCUCACCUAGCAUGUGCGAGACCCUAAGUUCGAUCCUCAGCACCACA